AACGAACGCUGGCGGCAUGCCUAACACAUGCAAGUCGAACGAGACCUUCGGGUCUAGUGGCGCACGGGUUUGUAACGCGUGGGAACCUUCCCUUAUGUUCGGAAUAACUCCCCGACAGGGAUGCUAAUACCGGACAAUGUCUACUGACCGAUGAUUUAUCGCCCUUGGAUGGGCCCGCGUUGGAUUAGCUAGUUCGUACGGUAAAAGCUUACCCAGGCGACGAUCCGUAACUGGUUUGAGAGGAUGAUCAGCAACACUGGGACUGAGACACGGCCCAGACGCCUACGGGAGGGAGCGGUGGGGAAUAGUGGACAAGGGGCGAAAGUCUGAUCCAGCAAUGCCGCGUGAGUGAUGAAGGCCUUAGGGUUGUAAAGCUCUAUUACCCGGGAUGAUAAUGACAGUAACGGGAGAAUAAGCUCCGGCUAACUCCGUG
rnacentral:rRNA from 1 species